UACAGAGGCCUCGAGCGUUAGGCGGAACCACUGGGCUUAAAGCGUGUGUAGGCGGAUUGCUAAGUACCUUGUGAAAUCCCACGGCUUAACCGUGGAACUGCUUGGUAUACUGGCUGUCUUGAGCCACUUAGGGGCGACCGGAACAAACGGUGGAGCGGUGAAAUGCGUAGAUAUCGUUUGGAACGCCAAAGGUGAAAACAGGUCGCUGGGAGUGUGCUGACGCUGAGACACGAAAGCCAGGGGAGCAAACGGG
rnacentral:rRNA from 1 species